AUUGAACGCUGGCGGCAGGCCUAACACAUGCAAGUCGAGCGAGCGGCGGACGGGUGAGUAAUGUAUGGGGACUGCCCGAUAGAGGGGGAUAACUACUGGAAACGGUGGCUAAUACCGCAUACUAUCGGAUAACCCAUAUGGGAUUAGCUAGUAGGUGGGGUAAAGGCUCACCUAGGCGACGAUCACUAGCUGGUCUGAGAGGAUGAUAAGCCACACUGGAACUGGUACACGGCCCAGACUCCUACGGAGUCAGCAGUGGGGAAUAUUGCACAAUGGGCGCAAUCCUGAUGCAGCCAUGCCGCGAGUAUGAAGAGGGCCUUAGGGUUGUAAGGUACUUUCAGCGGGGAGGCGUUACCCGCAGAAGAAGCACCGGCUAACUCCGUGCCAGCAGCCGCGGUAAUUC
rnacentral:rRNA from 1 species